rnacentral:rRNA from 1 species
CCUACGGGAGGCAGCAGUAGGGAAUAUUGCUCAAUGGGGGAAACCCUGAAGCAGCAACGCCGCGUGGAGGAUGAAGGUUUUCGGAUUGUAAACUCCUUUUGUUAGAGCAGAUAAUGACGGUAUCUAACGAAUAAGCACUGUCUAACUCCGAGCAAGCAGCCGCGGUACUAAGGAGGGUGCAAGCGUUACUCGGAAUCACUGGGCGUAAAGCGCGGGUAGGCGGGAUAGCAAGUCAGGUGUGAAAUCCUAGGGCUUAACCAUAGAACUGCAGUUGAAACUGUUAUUCUAGAGGAUGCGAGAGGUAGGUGGAAUGCGUGGUGUAGGGGUAAAAUGCGUAGAGAUCAAGAGGAAUACUCAUUGCGAAGGCGACGUGCUGGAACAUAACUGACGCUGAGGCGCGAAAGCGUGGGGAGCAAACAGGAUUAGAUACCCGUGUAGUC